GAUGAACGCUGGCGGCGUGCCUAAUACAUGCAAGUCGAGCGAACGGACGAGAAGCUUGCUUCUCUGAUGUUAGCGGCGGACGGGUGAGUAACACGUGGAUAACCUACCUAUAAGACUGGGAUAACUUCGGGAAACCGGAGCUAAUACCGGAUAAUAUUUUGAACCGCAUGGUUCAAAAGUGAAAGACGGUCUUGCUGUCACUUAUAGAUGGAUCCGCGCUGCAUUAGCUAGUUGGUAAGGUAACGGCUUACCAAGGCAACGAUGCAUAGCCGACCUGAGAGGGUGAUUGGCCACACUGGAACUGAGACACGGUCCAGACUCCUACGGGAGGCAGCAGUAGGGAAUCUUCCGCAAUGGGCGAAAGCCUGACGGAGCAACGCCGCGUGAGUGAUGAAGGUCUUCGGAUCGUAAAACUCUGUUAUUAGGGAAGAACAUAUGUGUAAGUAACUGUGCACAUCUUGACGGUACCUAAUCAGAAAGCCACGGCUAACUACGUGCCAGCAGCCGCGGUAAUACGUAGGUGGCAAGCGUUAUCCGGAAUUAUUGGGCGUAAAGCGCGCGUAGGCGGUUUUUUAAGUCUGAUGUGAAAGCCCACGGCUCAACCGUGGAGGGUCAUUGGAAACUGGAGAACUUGAGUGCAGAAGAGGAAAGUGGAAUUCCAUGUGUAGCGGUGAAAUGCGCAGAGAUAUGGAGGAACACCAGUGGCGAAGGCGACUUUCUGGUCUGUAACUGACGCUGAUGUGCGAAAGCGUGGGGAUCAAACAGGAUUAGAUACCCUGGUAGUCCACGCCGUAAACGAUGAGUGCUAAGUGUUAGGGGGUUUCCGCCCCUUAGUGCUGCAGCUAACGCAUUAAGCACUCCGCCUGGGGAGUACGACCGCAAGGUUGAAACUCAAAGGAAUUGACGGGGACCCGCACAAGCGGUGGAGCAUGUGGUUUAAUUCGAAGCAACGCGAAGAACCUUACCAAAUCUUGACAUCCUUUGACAACUCUAGAGAUAGAGCCUUCCCCUUCGGGGGACAAAGUGACAGGUGGUGCAUGGUUGUCGUCAGCUCGUGUCGUGAGAUGUUGGGUUAAGUCCCGCAACGAGCGCAACCCUUAAGCUUAGUUGCCAUCAUUAAGUUGGGCACUCUAAGUUGACUGCCGGUGACAAACCGGAGGAAGGUGGGGAUGACGUCAAAUCAUCAUGCCCCUUAUGAUUUGGGCUACACACGUGCUACAAUGGACAAUACAAAGGGCAGCGAAACCGCGAGGUCAAGCAAAUCCCAUAAAGUUGUUCUCAGUUCGGAUUGUAGUCUGCAACUCGACUACAUGAAGCUGGAAUCGCUAGUAAUCGUAGAUCAGCAUGCUACGGUGAAUACGUUCCCGGGUCU
rnacentral:rRNA from 1 species